AACUUCCUGGUGCUCACGCUGUUCUGCCGGUACCGGGCUCUGCGCACGCCCAUGAACCUCCUGCUGGUGAGCAUCUCUGGGAGCGACCUGCUGGUCAGCGUGCUGGGCACCCCGUUCAGCUUCGCGGCCAGCACCCAGGGGCGGUGGCUGAUCGGACGCGCUGGGUGCGUGUGGUACGGGUUCGUUAACGCAUGUUUGGGAAGUGACAGCAGGAGGACACGCUGAGCAGCAGUCAACUGCUGACGUGCCCCUGAUGUCAUUUGGAUCAACACGCCGAUACUCAACUGCUCGGAUGACUCAUCGCUCCAAGGACUCGAGACGCGAUAUUCAGCUCGACAUCAGUCUCGCACAAUCAAUCGACACUCAGCUGGAAGCCGGAACCUGUGAUUGUUGCAGAUUGAUCGCUCGGGACUCACCUGCCCCAGUUCCACCUGGCACAGCAAUCAAAAGGAUGAACUUUAUUCAAGACAUUACUGGGAAGUCUGUCAGUGAAGAUGUACUUAUUUCCUAAACCAUGGACAAGCACCUUGGGAAAAUUCAUUCAAAGCUUUUCAUUAUGUCGUCUACUGUAUACAAUA